ensembl:lncRNA
UGCAGUUUCGGAGACUUGGUUGGAUGCGGACAAGGCUUGUGAAGUGGAAUUGGAGGGAUAUGAGCUCUUUACUAAGAAUAGGAUUAAUAAAAAAGGUGGGGGUGUCGCAUUAUAUGUGGAUAACGACCUGAGCUGUAAAAUUGUUGAUAGUUUGUCGACCACCACUGAGGGAGUUCUAGAGUGUUUAUCUGUCGAAAUCACAGUUCUAAAAUCUAAAAAUAUUAUUGUCAGCAGUCUCUACAGAACACCAGGAUCAUGUUUAGAUUUAUUUAAUAAAAAUGCUGACAAUUUGUUUGGUAACCUUAAUAAGAUGCAUAUUGUGUGUGGUGAUUUUAAUAUAAAUCUCUUAAAUCCCCAUAAUAAUAUGAAAACAAGUGAUUUCAUCACAACUAUGUAUAGUAAUAAUCUAUUUCCACUUAUCACUAAACCCACAAGAAUCACAGCUGAUACAGCUACUUUAAUAGAUAAUAUAUUUACGAACAGACCUGAAACCCAAAUAACUGCUGGAUUGCUUAUAAAUGAUAUUACUGAUCAUCUUCCUGUGUUCAGUAUUUUUCACAAACUCCUUAAUAGGGCUACUAUUUCCAAAGUAGAUCAAAUUAAAAUUAUACGUUAUAGAACCCCUGAAACCAUGACUGCCCUAAAAACCGAUUUGUUUAACCAGACAUGGGAUAAGGUAUAUGCCACCUCUGACCCUGAUAAGGCCUAUGACAUUUUUUUGUCCACACUAUUAAGUCUUUAUGAUAAACACUGCCCACUAAAGGAAUACUCUACUAAAGAUAGAACCAACCUAGAGAAACCAUGGAUAACAAAGGGCAUAGCCAAUGCUUGCAAAAAGAAAAAAUACCUUCACAAAUUAUUCAUAAAACAUAGAACCAAAGAAGCAGAGGACAAAUAUAAAUCAUACAAAAAUAAGUUAAUUAACAUAAUAAGAUCUAAUAGACAUUUCUAUUAUCAUAAUAUGUUGGAACAGCACAAAAACAACAUCCAGAGUACUUGGAAAGUACUAAAUAGUAUUAUCAAGAAGCAAACCAACAAAAAUGAUUAUCCAAAUUACUUUGUGAAAGACGGCCAAAUCUUAAAUGGUAAUAAGGAAAUGUCAAUGGCAUUCAACAAUUUUUUUGCAAAUGUUGGACCCUCUCUAGCCAAUGAAAUCCCUCAACCGUCAGAUGUAAAGGAAAUAGAUAAAAACAUCAUUAAAGGAAAUGUGAACUCUCUGUUCUUGAGGAGUGUGGAUGAAAAUGAAAUUAUCCAAAUUGUGAGUAAACUUAAGAAUAAGAGGUCAACCGACUGUUUUGAAUUUGACACAAUCGUAGUUAAAGAAAUUAUAUAUAGUAUUGUAGCUCCACUCGUAUAUAUAUUUAAUCAGUCUUUUCUUACUGGCAUCUUUCCAUCUAAAAUGAAAAUGGCCAAGGUAGUACCCAUUUUUAAAAAUGGAGAUAAACAUCAGUUUACAAACUACAGGCCAAUUUCACUACUUCCACAAUUUUCAAAAAUUUUAGAAAAGUUAUAUGUUAUAAGACUUGAUGAUUAUCUCAAUAAAUUCAACCUUAUUUCAGAUUAUCAAUUUGGUUUCAGGUCAAACAGAGCAACCUCAAUGGCAGUCAUUGAACUGGUUGAGGAAAUAUCCACAGCGAUUGAUAAUGGAGAGUACACUGUCGGUGUUUUUAUCGACCUGAGCAAGGC